CAGGCUCGUUGUUCUCCCCUCCCCUCUCCUCUUCUCUCUCAUCCUCUCCCUUCUCUUCCCCCUCCAGCCUCCACUCCUUCGCCCGCUCACUCACCCUCUCCCUCUCCCGCUGCCCCCCCUUUCUCCCCCACCUCUUUGUUUCAGCUGAGAACCAGCUCCUCGGGACAGUUCCCACACUGCAGUGCCUCUGGUGAGGAGACAGCGCCACUGAGCUCCCCACUUCCACAGAGCUUUCCCGCACAGAUCCACCUGCCGCUGAUACGGCCUCCUCUGAACUCCCAAAAUGUGACCUAUGCCAUCACCGAGGCCGCAGGAACAAGAGGUGGGUGUCCAUGACAUUGGUACCUGUCAUCCCUGUGUGCAGCAGGUGUGCCCCACCCUGGAGGCAGCAGAAGAAGGUAUGUGAGUCAUUGUGGGCUAGGAAGGUGGCUAUGUCCAGGCCCUCAGCUGCAGCCUGGCUGGCAAGCUCAGGUGUGACCCAGGCCCCAGCAGCCUCUGUGGGCCCAUCCUGCCCAUCGGUGCCACCGCUCAAAAACAGCACAUCUAUCGGCCCCAGCGGCCACCUUCUCAACUCUGCUCCAACACGCAGGGCCAGUUCCUGGUUCCGGCCACCCCUGCCCGAGCCCUGCAGCUGUACUGUGGGCUCGCCACCAGCCAGCAGGCAGACUGGGCCCCUUCCCCAUGCCAUGGUCUCCUCAUCUGUACUACAUAUGUACUAUUGCAUCUACUUUAAUAAAUGCCUACCAUAAAUGUUGCAAGCUGACUUCAUCAGCAAGUAUGGACUGAGCAGGGUAAGGAGGCUGGGAAUUGAGGUUCCAGCUCUACUAUAGGCUUUCUGAGUGGCUGGGACACCUCCAUUUCUCUCACUGGGCCUCAUCCGCAAAAUGAGACAUGGGGUGAGAUUAACACUACGCUCUUCCCUUAACAACCUCAGGCUCUCUGAUACUGUCCACUGCAACACAGAUCUCAAACACCGGUUUACCCCACACCCAAAUAUGGUGGUUACUUCUAGACUUUGACCAUUUUGCUUGCCUAGUUCUCAGCUCUCCGGUAAGAAAAGACAGCCAUGCCUGACUUCUGUUGUGAAAGGGAACACAGAGGGCAUCGUCAUGGGGAUUCCGAAAAUGGGUCCAGUUUUGGCCAGGGGGACCCCUGGAGCUUGCCCAUUGGACUUGGAGCUAAAAGCAUCUUAGCAACUAAGACAGCCGGUCUUUAUAGCCUGGAUGAAAUUUGUAUCUAUUUCCCAGAUGGACAAGAGCCUAGAAGAUCCCAGCCUUGCCACUGGGUAUGAGCACAGGACAGGGGGACGCUCAAUGCUAAGGCUGCCAGAGAAAAUACAGGACUUCCGGUUAAAUUUGAAUUUCAAAUAAACAAGUAAUUUUUAAAGUAUA
rnacentral:lncRNA from 1 species